rnacentral:rRNA from 1 species
GUCGUAACAAGGUUUCCGUAGGUGAACCUGCGGAAGGAUCAUUAUUGAAUUAAAACACCCUGGGUUGUUGCUGGCUCCUUGGAGCAUGUGCACGCUUGGGGUAACCCAUCUUUAACCACCUGUGCACUUUUCUUUGUAGGCCUGGGUAAUUAACUUUCAAGGGUUAAAACAACCCUCGGUUUGAGGACUUGCUUGUUGGCUGCAGCCAGCUCUCCUUGCGUUAUUAUUAUCCAUGUUCUAUGAUAUCUUUACACAUACACUGCAUGAAUGUCUAGAAUGUUUAUUAUAUUAUAGGACACUGUCCUUGUAAAUCUAAUACAACUUUCAACAACGGAUCUCUUGGCUCUCGCAUCGAUGAAGAACGCAGCGAAAUGCGAUAAGUAAUGUGAAUUGCAGAAUUCAGUGAAUCAUCGAAUCUUUGAACGCACCUUGCGCUCCUUGGUAUUCCGAGGAGCAUGCCUGUUUGAGUGUCAUUAAAUUCUCAACCUUCUCAGUUUUUGUUAGCUGGGUUUUUAAGGCUUGGAUUAUGGGGGUUGCAGGCUUUCCAAGAAGUCAGCUCCCCUUAAAUGUAUUAGCAAAACAACUGUUGCUUGACCAUCCCUGGUGUGAUAAUUAUCAACGCCAUUGAGAAACAUCAACACUUUGCUUCUAAUAGUCUUAUUAUUGAGACAACUUACUUGACAAUUUGACCUCAAAUCAGGUAGGACUACCCGCUGAACUUAG